rnacentral:rRNA from 1 species
CCUACGGGAGGCUGCAGUGAGGAAUAUUGGUCAAUGGACGAGAGUCUGAACCAGCGACGUAGCGUGAAGGAAGACUGCUCUAGGGGUUGUAAACUUCUUUUAUAUGGGAGUAAAAUGUUCCACGUGUGGGAUGAGGUGUGUACCAUAUGAAUAAGGAUCGGCUAACUCCGUGCAAGCAGCCGCGGUAAUACGGGGGAUCCGAGCGUUAUCCGGAUUGUUUGGGGUUAAAGGGAGCGUAGGUGGAUUGGUAAGUCAGUAGUGAAAGUUUGCGGCUCAACCGUAGAAUUGCAGUUGAAGCUGGCAGUCUAGAGUACAGGAGAGGUGGGCGGAAUUCGUGGUGUAGCGGUGAAAUGCUUAGAUAUCACGAAGAACUCCGAUGGCGAAGGCAGCUCACUGGACUGUAACUGACACUGAGGCUCGAAAGUGUGGGGAUCAAACAGGAUUAGAUACCCCAGUAGUC